UAUGUCUGUUUCUCUCCAGAGCUCCGGAGUGUUACUCACAGUCCGGUGCUCUAAGACAUGCCCCAAUAGUAUACAUUUGCACUAGCUUUUCCA